rnacentral:rRNA from 1 species
UACAGAGGUCUCAAGCGUUGUUCGGAUUCAUUGGGCGUAAAGGGUGCGUAGGCGGCGCGGUAAGUCGGGUGUGAAAUCUUGGAGCUUAACUCCGAAACUGCAUUCGAUACUGCCGUGCUUGAGGACUGGAGAGGAGACUGGAUUUACGGUGUAGCGGUGAAAUGCGUAGAUAUCGUAAGGAAGACCAGUGGCGAAGGCGGGUCUCUGGACA